rnacentral:rRNA from 1 species
AGGAGCUUGCUUCUCUGGAUGAGAUUGCGAACGGGUGAGUAACGCGUAGGUAACCUGCCUGGUAGCGGGGGAUAACUAUUGGAAACGAUAGCUAAUACCGCAUAAGAGUAGAUGUUGCAUGACAUUUGCUUAAAAGGUGCAAUUGCAUCACUACCAGAUGGACCUGCGUUGUAUUAGCUAGUUGGUGAGGUAACGGCUCACCAAGGCGACGAUACAUAGCCGACCUGAGAGGGUGAUCGGCCACACUGGGACUGAGACACGGCCCAGACUCCUACGGGAGGCAGCAGUAGGGAAUCUUCGGCAAUGGACGGAAGUCUGACCGAGCAACGCCGCGUGAGUGAAGAAGGUUUUCGGAUCGUAAAGCUCUGUUGUAAGAGAAGAACGAGUGUGAGAGUGGAAAGUUCACACUGUGACGGUAUCUUACCAGAAAGGGACGGCUAACUACGUGCCAGCAGCCGCGGUAAUACGUAGGUCCCGAGCGUUGUCCGGAUUUAUUGGGCGUAAAGCGAGCGCAGGCGGUUAGAUAAGUCUGAAGUUAAAGGCUGUGGCUUAACCAUAGUACGCUUUGGAAACUGUUUAACUUGAGUGCAAGAGGGGAGAGUGGAAUUCCAUGUGUAGCGGUGAAAUGCGUAGAUAUAUGGAGGAACACCAGUGGCGAAAGCGGCUCUCUGGCUUGUAACUGACGCUG